GAUGAACGCUGGCGGCGUGCCUAAUACAUGCAAGUCGAGCGAACGGACGAGAAGCUUGCUUUUCUGAUGUUAGCGGCGGACGGGUGAGUAACACGUGGAUAACCUACCUAUAAGACUGGGAUAACGUCGGGAAACCGGAGCUAAUGCCGGAUAAUAUUUUGAACCGCAUGGUUCAAAAGUGAAAGACGGUCUUGCUGUCACUUAUAGACGGAUCCGCGCUGCAGUAGCUAGUUGGUAAGGUAACGGCUUACCAAGGCGACGAUGCCUAGCCGACCUGAGAGGGUGAUCGGCCACACUGGGUCGGAGACCCGGUCCAGACUCCUACGGGAGGCAGCCGUCGGGAAUCUGCCGCAAUGGGCGAAAGCCUGACGGAGCAACGCCGCGUGAGUGAUGAAGGUCUUCGGAUCGUAAAACUCUGUUAUUAGGGAAGACCAUAUGUGUAAGUAGCUGUGCACAUCUUGACGGUACUUAAUCAGAAAGCCCCGGCUAACUACGUG
rnacentral:rRNA from 1 species